rnacentral:lncRNA from 1 species
CCUGUAGCCACACAGGCUGCCUGGGAAGAAUAGGGUGAACCAACGAGGAACGGGGUGAACCAACGGGGAGGAACGGGGUGAACCAACGAGGAACAGGGUGAACCAACGAGGAACAGGGUGAACCAACGACGGAUGGAUACAGAAUGGAGUCCUGGUCACUUGACUCUAAACAGUCAUUUCCUGCUAGAGGUGGACGGAGCCAGACAGCAGGGCUGGCCCAGAACCCAGAACUCCAGAAGCCCAAAGGAACACUUAGUCGCUGGAGCAGCAGUGAUCUUACCGGUUUACUGGAGAUGCUUACCCACCCCGCCCCCAAGAUCU